GUUGAGGGAAGCCUGGAACCGGAAGUGAAGAGAGAUUCCCUCCCUCGUCGCUGUUGCUGCCGCCAUACGCGCUCGCCCUGCUCUGCUCUUCUAUCAGAAACUAGUACCUUUUCUUUUGCCCUUUAUCAAGCCCCUCUCUUUCCCCUUGUUUUCACCUGUUCUGGGAGAACUCAUCGAGAGACCCCUCCCCUUCUCCCCCUGCCGGCCCAAUUAUGGCAGAGAAUGAUGUGGACAAUGAGCUCUUGGACUAUGAAGAUGAUGAGGUGGAAACGGCAGCUGGGGGAGAUGGAGCUGAGGCUCCUGCCAAGAAGGAUGUCAAGGGCUCCUAUGUCUCCAUCCAUAGCUCUGGCUUUCGGGACUUCUUGCUCAAGCCAGAGUUACUCCGGGCUAUUGUUGACUGUGGCUUUGAGCAUCCAUCAGAAGUCCAGCAUGAAUGUAUCCCUCAGGCCAUUCUGGGAAUGGAUGUCCUGUGCCAGGCCAAAUCAGGCAUGGGAAAGACAGCAGUGUUUGUGUUGGCCACACUGCAACAGCUGGAGCCAGUUACUGGACAGGUGUCCGUGCUGGUGAUGUGUCACACUAGGGAGUUGGCUUUUCAGAUCAGCAAAGAAUAUGAGCGCUUUUCUAAAUACAUGCCCAAUGUCAAGGUUGCAGUUUUUUUUGGUGGUCUGUCUAUCAAGAAGGAUGAAGAGGUGCUGAAGAAGAACUGCCCGCAUAUCGUCGUGGGGACUCCUGGCCGCAUCCUAGCCCUGGCUCGAAAUAAGAGCCUCAACCUCAAACAUAUUAAACACUUUAUCUUGGAUGAAUGUGAUAAGAUGCUUGACCAGCUCGACAUGCGUCGGGAUGUCCAGGAAAUUUUUCGCAUGACCCCCCAUGAGAAGCAGGUCAUGAUGUUCAGUGCUACCUUGGGCAAAGAGAUCCGUCCAGUCUGCCGCAAGUUCAUGCAAGAUCCAAUGGAGAUCUUCGUGGAUGAUGAGACGAAGUUGACGCUGCAUGGGUUGCAGCAGUACUACGUGAAACUGAAGGACAACGAGAAGAACCGGAAACUCUUUGACCUUCUGGAUGUCCUUGAGUUCAACCAGGUGGUGAUCUUUGUGAAGUCUGUGCAGCGGUGCAUCGCCCUGGCCCAGCUCCUAGUAGAGCAGAACUUUCCAGCCAUUGCCAUCCAUCGUGGGAUGCCUCAGGAGGAGAGGCUUUCUCGGUAUCAGCAGUUUAAAGAUUUUCAACGACGGAUUCUUGUGGCCACCAACCUAUUUGGCCGAGGCAUGGACAUUGAGCGGGUGAACAUUGCCUUUAACUAUGACAUGCCUGAGGAUUCUGACACCUACCUACAUCGGGUGGCCAGAGCAGGUCGCUUUGGCACCAAGGGCUUGGCUAUCACAUUUGUGUCAGAUGAGAAUGACGCCAAGAUUCUUAAUGACGUGCAGGACCGCUUUGAGGUCAACAUCAGUGAGCUGCCUGAUGAGAUAGACAUCUCCUCCUACAUUGAACAGACGCGGUAGAGGAUUCACCCAUUCUGGAAUGUGACGGUCUAUCUCUUCAGGAGAGGACACCAGCUCUGGGGAUGCCAGCUGUUGAGUCAUGAGCAGCCUGUGGAAAGGUCCAGGUGACUAGGAAUGGAGGCCUCUUGGGACCAGCUAGCAAGUACCUGAGCCCUCUCCAACAGCCAUAUGAAGGAGCCAUGCUCCUUGGGAGCCCCCAGUGCCAGUCAGGUCCUCAAAGGAUGCAGCCUUGGCUGAUGACUGCGACCUUGUGAGAGACCCUGAGCCAGAAGCACUCAAGGAACCUCUCCUGGAUUCCUGACCAUCACACCCUGAGGGAGAUAAUGUUCCAUGUUUCCAGCUGCCAAGUUUUGGGUAGUUUGUUAUAUAGCAGUAGAUAAGUAAUAUAGAUUCUAAGGAAAGAUUAAAUCAUUGUACUUUUUUAUUUGCCCUAAAUAAACCGUGUCAGUUAAAUGAUAUUUAACAUGUCAGUUGGAUUUAAGAUUUUUCACAGCUAAGUGGGAUGUAAUUUAUUAUUAUUCUCAAACAUCUAUUUAUUUGACUUUCAUGAUCCAGCUGUGACUCAAUUACACAAAAAAGUAAGAAUCUGGCUAUGUUAGUCUGAUUUUGUGAUGGACCCUAACACCACCCCAGUUAGCCACCUUUCUUCAAUCAAUCAAAUGCUAAGGUAUUUGCUACUGUGAAGGGAUUUUUGCAGAUGAAAUUACAGUCUCAAAUCAGUUAACCUUAACAAGGGGACUGUCCUAACUAGGUGAUCCUUUAAAAGGACCAAGCUCUUCCUGAGAGAAGAGAUCCAUUGUGUGAGAAGGAUUCAGUGUGAGAGAUCUUCUUAAAUGUGGGCUUUGAAAAUGGAGGGGCAAGUCAGGUGCGGUGGGGCAUGCCUGUAAUCCCAGCAGCUCUGGAGGCUGAGGCAGGAGGAUUGUGAGUUCAAAGCCAGCCUCAGGAAAAGCAAGGUGCUAAGCAACUCAGUGAACCCUGUCUCUAAAUAAAAUACAAAAUCGGGCUGGGGWUAUGGCUAAGUGGUCACCAAGUUGCCAGUAGUCCUCCCCCUCUCUCCCUGACAGCCAGCAAGGAGAGAGGGACCUCAGCCCUAAACGUGCAGGAAAUGGGAUUCUGCCCACAGCAUUGUGUGAGUUUGGAGGAUACUUGAGAUGAGACCACAACUUUAUGAAAUCCUGAAGAGAGAAUCCAUGCAUAUCAUGCUUAGAUUUCUGACUAAGGAAAUGUAAGCAAAUAAAUGGUAAUGUUUUGGGCUAUCAAGUUUGUGGUAACUUCUUAUGUAGUAAUCAAAAACUGUCAGGCUCAACUGUGCAACAGAUAAGUGUUUUCUCCAUUGGAAUGAAUUUAUAAAUUGUGUACAUGAAA